rnacentral:lncRNA from 1 species
ACAUUCCUAAAUUGAUAGAUUGACAGAAUCUCAGACUCUCUUAUAAUAUAGCUAAUGCUAUGGCUCAGUGGCUAGAGCGUUGGAGCAUUAGUUAGUACGAUUCACAGACCGGGCCGUGUGUUGUGUUCUUGAGCAAGUCACUUGUUUCACGUGGCUCCAGUUCACUCAGCUAUAGAAAUGAGUUGCGACGUCACUGGUGUCAAGCUGUAUCGGCCUUUGCCUUUCCAUUGGACAACAUCGGUGACCUGGAGAGGGGAGGAUGGUAUGCAUGAGUGACUGCUGGUUUUCCAUAAACAACUUUGCCUGGAUUUCUGCCUAGGAAUGAAACUUUCUAGGUGCAAUCCCAUGGUCAUUCAUGACCGAAGGGGUCUUUACCCUUACCCUUUUAUUCUAAGAAGGAUAAGUGGAACAAAGAGUGUUCAGUCGUCAGUUCAGGAAAACAAGCACACUGGUUGGUUCCUAAAACUACAAUCAACCCAUUGACUUUAUCUAAAAAGAUAUUUUAACACAUAUGACACAACGAUUUUUAUGCGACUAAAUGUAUCAUAAUACCUUCAUUUCAACAGGUGAUGAUUUUAAUUUCUCCUCACUGUUAGUGUCUUAGGGUCAAUGAUUUUUAAUUGCUUUUUGUUUUUGUCUUUGUUUGUUUUUCUUUUUGUUUUUUUAAUGGCAAUUAUUUGGAUUAUACAGAGUAAAACUCAAUGAAGUUUUUCUCGACAGUUUGAGAAGCAACCUAUUUUCACAGUUCCUUUUGUAACAGUCAAAAUCAACUUCAGCACAGCAUUCAGUCGACUGUUAGUCCAUUUUCAUCCGCCUUGACAAGUUUUGGCUGGAUGGGAUAGAAAAUUGAGGAAUCACUUUCCGUCAGGUUACGUACAUAAAUACCAUUAUUUUCCACAAAACAUAGUCACAACGUUUUGUUUCAUAAAUGCGAAAAUAUAAUAUAUUCUCUACAAAAUGUUUUAUGCAAUUUUUUUAUCAAUGAAGAGCAUGAAAACUUAUAUUUCUUUAUAUGCAUUAAUGUCCCAAUUCCAACAUGUCUUUUAUAAUUUCUAAUAUUUUUAAGAACUAAUACCGUUUAACUAUAUAUUUCUAUGUAUGCAUUUGUGUGUUCAUGCAUGUAUGGAUGGAUGGAUGGAUGGAUGGAUGGAGGCAUGCAUGCAUGUAUGCCAUAAAAUUUCUCUCUGGUGCACAAGUCUGAACAAAACAUAAUAUGCAAAUUCAUGUUAUCAAAUGUAAUAGGUGUAAUUAAAACUACAUAGGACAAACGAAAUUAACCCUGUGGCACAAAAUGACAACUCGCCGUCAACAGAUGAGAAUCCCAGUAUCAGAAAAAUACCCAUUGGUAAAGUUUUGACCUUUUCCAAUGAACAAGCAUUCUAAAUUCUAAAUUUUCUCUUUGUAUCAAUGUAUAGGAAAUACCUCAAUCUAAUUCUGAUUAAAAGAAGGAAAAUAUGUUUAUUAAGAAAUAUAAACCAAAGCUAAAUACUUUACAACAACGCGAUAGUUAAGAAAAUGCAGUAUAUUCGACUCAACGAAACAACUCGAAACAACAAAGUAAUAAAAGUAAAUCAAAUUUUGCGGUAACAGGCUUCCUCCGGGAUUCGAAAACCUAACUUCAAACUUCUGUUAUAGCAUUUUUUCGGCCCUAUUUGCCGAGCCACGCUAAGAUUGACCGAUUGGAUUGUGUUUUUGGUUAAAACUGGACUCUGAAGGAAAAAAGGUGAUGCUAUUAAGCAUUCAGUCGACUGAGACAUCACAGAAACAAGUGGUGUCUUAAGGGAUUCAGUCAACUGGAACGCUAGAUUACUGCCAGAGAAAAAGAAGUGACCAGAACAUUUGGUUUUUAAAACUGACGUCCGCAAAUUGUCAACAACCAGAAGACUGGACUACUACUAAUAAGACUACAACUAAAGCUAGUUUAAAUUAGCUCAUUUAUUAGCUAAGAAAGAGGAUCGUUUGAUAGUGGAAAGGGAUUAAUUAACUCUUGUAUGAGAAUGUAGCUGGAAAGUUUGUCUAGAAAAAUGUAUUCAUUCAAGUAUGUUAGUCUUUGACAUAAAACAUAUGAAGAAUGCCAAAGACAUGAGUCAUUUUGUACCAAUUAAACAAUAAAAUGCAAUAUUUCCGGUGGUUAUCCCUGCUGUUGAGGAACCAAGGGACAUAUCCGACAAUUCCGUGAUGCGUUGCUCAUUCAGGGAACUAAUACUAACUUUAAAAUUACUAAAAAAAACUAGCUGAACAGCAGGCAAAGAUGCAGUCACUUUCAAAAAAGUGGAAAUAAAAUAUUGAUCAAGUACAAAAUGGUUUGGAAACUUCAGAAGUAUGAUACAUUUGACUGUCGAGAACAUAUGUAUGGUGUUAGGAAAGGUUUUGUUGGAAAAGUCCACAAAAUUUUGAGUCUGAAGUGAAGUGUCUCUCUAAUGUUUCAUUACAUCAUUCAGCAACAGAUACUUCAUGGAAAACAUUUAUAUCUCUCAUGUGUAAUAGAACACGUCCAUCAGCAGUGUUUAUUCAAUGGCAUGCAUUCUAUCAGCGCCACUUUCAAAUCUCGCGAUUUUUAUCUUUAGAUAAAGAUUGAAAAAUGUUUAAUGAAAAAAACAGUUUUCAGCCGUUACAACAAACUGUUGAUAUAAUGAUGUAUCUUAUUCAGUUCGACAAGGCAACACUGAAUUUAUGUGACGUAUUCUCUGCAGUAAAACUUUUCGAUAUGAAUUAAUCAUUUUCACCUCCAGCUCACAAUAAGUAACUUCAAUCACUUUCUCAGCUGGGAAAAAUGCAACGAAAAAGAAAAAUAUUCUAUUUCCUUUCGAAUAUUCUCAAGACAUUCUCAACAGUCUAAAGCUAAAAUUUCGACAGCUUUUUCAAAUCUCUAUGAAAAGGCGAAAGCAUUAAAACUCUUUCAAAAUCCAUUUGGCUGUAUUGUCAAGGAAAUUCCGAUCUUCAGAUCUUCAAAUACAGGUUAUUGAUCUGCAGUCAAACAACUUGUUAAAAGAAAAGCACAAAAGAGGCGAAAAUUGAUUGACUUUUAUAAAUGCCUUCAGACGAAGGACACACUGCGUUCAAAAGUCUUUGCUUGAGGAUGGAUUCUAACCUAUUAAUGUGAACAAGAAAACAUUUUCUUUCAAAUAUAAAAUAUAUUAAGUACGCUUUCAAACCAGGUAACUGAUUGCCAAUUUGCAGUCAGUUUUGAUUACGGGAAUCACAAUUUACAAUACUUUGUCCUAAAAUAUGAAUAAUAGAGUUCUCAGUCAUUGACAAUGCAUGCUAUUUGCAUAUUCUUGUAUUGUGGUGGCUUCAUUUUUAUUCGCAUUGAUCCCACCCACACAACCUCGAGAUACAAAAUUAUUUCCAAUCUGGUGCGUCUCCAGAAAAUAUGAUUAUGAAUCUUAACCUAGGUUUUGUUCACUGCAUCUUUUGGUCGACUGUACACAUUAGUAGAUGUGAUGAAAUGGCUGAUGACAACUGAAUUAGUGAAAUUGCGCUCGACACACUAUCAGACAUGAAUUGCUAUUCACCAUACAUCAGAAUGGCCUGUUUUUUUUAUGUUCACGAAGGAGAAUUAGAAUAUGUGUCACCGAUGGAAAUAAGCUGUUCUCUUUUGUUUAGGAUUUUAAUGGAUGCAGAUAAACAAUGUUAAAAUUUCUCAGUAUGUCCGAUAUCUCAGUAUUUCAGUCCUCACAAUAUUCCAAUUAAUUCUAGUGAUUUUGGUGGGAUCUCCUUAAUCUCUUGUCCUCAAAAUAGAAUUUGAAAUUGAUACAGCAGUCUUCAGGAAUCGAUUAUUGAAUGAGCCAUGGUGCUACUGUGUGUGCCUUUUAAAUGAAUAUCCCAUGUGUGUUGGUUGAUGUGUGGUAAAUAGAAAUAUAGCAUGCAAUACUAUUUUUCUGAAAAUUUUCUUGGGAGUGAUCAGCGCUCCAUAUAAUUGCAAUUGGCAAUCAGCUGAACUGUGGAAUUGACCGGUAAACUGUUUGGGGUUUGUUUUGGUCCAGGCCUCCAUGUGAAUCGGUGACAAGGUGGUACUCAGAAAUGAGAUGCUCAGAAGUUAUUCCUUGAAAAUCGGAUAUCGAUGGGGAACGAAAAGAAAAAUUAGUUAGUGCCCUAAGUAACCCCCUUUUAUGGUAGGGGUUCUUUUCCGGGGCAAUACUUAAUAUAUUAGAACUAUUGUCUUUGUAUAUAUGUUUCUUUCGUCAGAAGAUCCAUCCACUAUUAACGUUCAUUGUGACAACCCCUCGUGGUUGAUGAUGCGCAGUAAUAGGUAGAGAUUAUGUCACCUGCUGAAUUUUCUGGACAGGGAGCAAGUGUAGUGGUCUUUCUGUUACGUUUUGUAUUUCGAAAAGGGAAUCUGAUUUAUCAUACAAACCGCAGUUUACUCAUCAUAUGAUAUAUAGAAUAGAGAUAGAGCUGGACUAUAUGCUUAAAUCAAAAUAACUUUCCCACAAAACAAAAUUUCGAAAUACAAACCAAAAUUACUUCUAUUUUAUGCAAAUCAGAAAUAGAAAAGGCUGAGAUUCCCUGGCUUCUAUAAUUUCAGAAAUAUCAAACAUUCAAUCAAGCAAACAAACGUUAAAAACAGUGACACCUACUAUUUGGGAAGUUGGAUAUCUUAGCUAUGAAGUAAUGCUUACGAUGUACAACAUGUAUGCUUAAAACUUUUUGUAGACUUAGAUUUUCAGAAUAAUUCAAAUUGGAAUUAAGUAUUUUCUUAUGAUUUGAGUCAGAGAGGAAAGCAGUGCCAACUGCUUAUAUGAAAAGAGAAAUGCAUCCUCUAACUGGAAACCUGACCAAAAUGGAAUGAACCCCCACGAAAGGCACCCAAUGACCAGGUGAUGCUGCCAAACCGCGUGACGGAUUAAGUCUGCGACUCAAGUAGCCAAGGCGGGAUUUGAGCUCACAACACAAACAGCCGAAACAAAUACAAAAAGACAUCUGUCCAACGUUAAUGAAUCUACCAAUUCCACUGUUUUUUACUGGUACUUUAUUUUAUCGACCCAGAAAAAUAAAUGAUAAAGUUGAUAAAGUUGACCGCGGCGGGAUUCGAAUACAAAACACAAGAGACCAAAUAAACAACCGCAACGCAUUUCAUUCCAUGAUCUGACGAACGACUACCGUUAUUUCGUCAUCUAAACUUAGAAUAUGACCUUUCUUCAAUGGUAUACAAUUAUAUUUCUUACUCUGCUGUGCUUUAAAUUAUGUCUCCGUCUUCUCGUCAUCACUUCGCUGUUAUUAAAAUUACCUCAUCUCACUCAAGGGAACUAUAAUUUGCAGAUUUAUAGUAAUGUUUACAUAGAUUCAUUAAAUCAAAUUUCUUUCAUUGCUCUAAUGGAAACUACUAUUUACGUUGAUUAUAGACAUUUAAGCUUUAAAUAUUUAUUUAUUUAGGAAUAUAAUUACUUGCGAAAAUCUUGAUAUAUUUUUAUAGCAUAGAUGUGCUUGAAUUCAUAUAUUACACAUGUAUGCACAUGCCCGUGUGCACACAUACAUACAUUGAUGCAUAUAAUUACACACACAACAAACACGUAUAUAUAUAUGCGCAGGAGUGGCUGUGUGAUAAGUAGCUUGCUUACUAACCACAUGGUUCCGGGUUCAGUCCCACUACGUGGCAUCUUUGACAGGUGUCUUCUACUAUAGCCUCGGGCCGACCAAAACCUUGUGAGUGGAUUUGGUAGACGGAAACUGAAAGAAGCUCGUCGUAUAUGUAAGUGUGUGUGUGUAUGUGUGUGUGUAUGUUUGUGCGUCUGUGAUUGCCACCCACCCCCCAACAUUGCUUGAAAACUGAUGCCGGUGUGUUUAUGUCCCCGUAACUUAGCGGUUCGGCAAAAGAAACCUAUAGAAUAAGUACUAGACAUACAAAGAAUAAGUCGCGGGGUCAAUUUGCUCGACUAAAGGCGGUGCUCCAGCAUUGCCACAGUCAAAUGACUGAAACAAGUGAAAGAGUAAAGAGAGUGUAUAUAUAUAUAUAUAUAUAUAUAUAUAUAUAUAUAUAAGAGUCCUAAUCAGAUGAUGCUUUGAAACUCAGCCUUCAGAUUUGUCUCGAUUGCUUUGUGGCGUAAGGCAGCGAGCUGGCAGAAACGUUUGCACGCCGGACGAAAUGCUUAGCGGUAUUUCGUCUGCCGCUACGUUCUGAGUUCAAAUUCCGCCGCGGUCGACUUUGCCUUUCAUCCUUUCGGGGUCGAUUAAAUAAGUACCAGUUACGUACUGGGGUCGAUAUAAUCGACUUAAUCUGUUUGUCUGUCCUUGUUUGUCUCCUCUGCGUUUAGCUCCUUGUGGGUAGUAAAGAAAUAGGUAUAUUGUCUGUUUUUACGUUCUGAGUUCAAAAUCCGCGGAGGUCGACUUUGCCUUUCAUCCUUUCGGGGUCAAUAAAUUAAGUACCAGUUGCAUACUGGGGUCGAACUAAUCGACUGGCCUCCUCCCCCAGAAUUUCGGGCCUUGUACCUAGAGUAGAAAAGAUUUCUUUGUGGCGUAUCUUUUCUCAAUCAAGAGUAAAUCACUAUCUCGCAAAUAUUUCCGCGACAACUUCAGAAUACAUAGUUAAAAUUUUUCUUCUACAGUUGUCAUUUUCAAUUAUCACUUAAUUGAAGAAGUUGAAAAGAGAUUAAUAUUCAUGAAAGAAAACUUGUCAAUACUAAUAUUUAAUUGACAAAUUAAUUAAGCCUGUAUAUACUGCUACAGUGCACUUUAUCAUGGCUACAUCCCAGGUUAUUUAUGCUUAAAUAAAAACUCAUUAUAAACAUCUUAUUUAUGCUUAUAUGCAUACCAUAACAAGAACAAUUCAAUCAAUAUACGCUUAAAAUUCUGUCUUCCCCUUCUCUCUAUCACCUUCUCCUUCUCUUCAGUUUGCUCAGUAUUUUGAGUCUCUCCCUCUCUCUCUCACUCACUCUCUCUUUCUCUCUUUCUUCACUUACUCUCUUCUAUGUGUUUCAACUUACUCUCCGCUCUCCUCUCCACUUGCUCUUUCUCCCUCCUCCGUUUGCUUCCCUGUCUCUUCUUCCAUAUCCCCAUUGUUUUUUCACCUUCCUUCCUUCUCUUUCUCUCUCUUCCUCUAUCCAUCAGUCGAUCUAUCUAUCUUUCUGCACACACGAGCCAAUCACAUGUGCAGUCACACGCCACGAAGAAAGGAAUAAGAACAAUAGUUAAGAUAUCGAGGAACUGAAAGAGUGCUAAAAUAGAAUUGUUCCUCUGAGCGUGGAGAACGAUCCAUUUAAUAACCUGAUUGCAGCAACUCUGAAAAGUAACGGAUUUACUAGAUUUGCAGCGCAAAUAGGGCGAGAAAUGAGUGAAUUUAUCCUCUCCUAUGCACUCAUCUUGGGCAAGUGCCUUCUAUAGCCUCGGGCCGACCAAAGCCUUGUGAGUAGAUUUGGUAGACGGAAACUGAAAGAAUCCCAUCGUAUAUACGUAUAUAUAUAUAUAUAUAUAUAUAUAUAUAUAUAUAUAUGUAUGUAUAUAUGUGUGUGUGUGCGUCUGUGUAUGUGUGUGUGUGUGUGCGUGUGUGUGUUUGUGCGUCUGUGUCUGUCCCCCAACAUUGCUUGACAACUGAUGCUGGUGUGUUUAUGUCCCCCGUAACUUAGCGGUUUGGCAAAAAAGACCGAUAGAAUACGUACUAGACUUACAAAGAAUAAUGAAAUGAAGACAACAACGACAGUGCUACCACCUUUUUAUAUCUGCUGCUGCAGGUAUUCACUGAAAUGCACAAACUGAAAAAGGAAAGACCCCCAAGAGAAGCAGACUCUACACCGUCAAUCAGAACAGCAGUGAAAUAAACAGAACCAACCGAAAGACUAAUGAAACUGGAUUUAAAGUCAAAACUACUAAAAAUAAAACGGAAAACAACGAGAAAACACUACAUGAAACGCGAACCAUCAGCAAAUUCUGCAUAAAAGGUGUCUGCUGACAUGGAGAGAUUGGAACAAACAGCCGCUUUGCGCAUCCAAAGCUUAGGCAAAAUGGAACUCAAAGUAUUAACCACUACUUAUUCAACCAACAAGCAUUAAAUUAGGUUACGUAAAAGAAAUAGUCCUUUCUACUAUAUGCACAAGACCCGAAAUUUUGGGAGAAAGGGUUAGUCGAUUACAUCGAUCCCAGAGCUCGACUGGUACUUAUUUUAUUGACCCUGGAAGGAUAAAAGGUAAAGUUGACUUCGGUGGAAUUUUAACUCAGAACGUAAAGCUAGAAGAAAUGCCACGAAGCAUUCUGUCUGUCGUGCUAAUUAUUUUGCCAGCUCUCCGGUUAAAUGAAAUAGUUAUUACCGGAAAUGAAACCGAGAUAAUAGAUUCAGCUCACGGGAAGAUGACUCUUUAUUUUAGGAUAACCGUCAUAUAUACUCCCUGUCAAUACGAAAAAACAACAUUAUACGAACCAUAAAGAAGCUUCUACGCUCAACCAGCUAUAAAUAGAUUCCAAAUCUCCCUAACAUCACAUCGUAUCGUCUUAAAGAGGCAGAACAUUUUGGACAAUGUAAUCGUAUGUACUAAAACGCAUCGUUAAAGCAAGAAUGUUUUGAUCUUGGAAUUUUUAAAUCAGGACUACCCUGGAGCUAAACUAUAACUGCAACAAAUUAAACACCUGCAAAAGUCUUAAUAUUUUGGAAACAUUUUCAUUCGUGAUUAAAUCAAAUUAUUUAUUGCGUUCACGUUUUUGUUUAACAGACAUUAUGUUUAUUCAUAACGAAAAUUUAAUAAUCAAUAUUUCUGCAAUAAUUUAUUUUAUAUUUUAUUAAAUACUUUUAAUCAUUUUAUUGGCAAAUUUUUCUGUAACACUGGCUCUAAAUGUUACCAUUCUUCUUCCGAACUGCCACAAAUACAGAUUCGUUACUUCUGAAAGUUCUUGAAUUCAGUUUUAAUUUAACGAUCUGCCAUAAAUUUCCAAUAGGAUUUAGAUCUGCAUAUUCUCCAGGCCAGUGCAAAGUCUCGAGUUCAUGAUUUUGGUAAACGGUUUGAUUAAUUUGGCAGGAUAACCAUUAUUAUGGUAUAUUGCCGUUGUGGAUUGAAUUAUAAGUAAUAUCUCUGAAAGAUAUUUUUGUGAAAUGUCGUCCUUGUUAAUAUCAUCAUCGUCGCCAUCAUUGCCGUUAUUGUUGUUGUUGUUUGUUGUUGCUUGACACCGAGUUGGCUCUGAUCAGCCAGACAUAUGGUCAAAGGUAUUCAAACCAUGAUCCCUCCACCACCACCAUCACCAAAUACUAUAUUGCAAACUAUAUUAUUUGAUGCAUGUUUUUAAGACAUCUUUUAUUGUUUUCCCCCAAACUGAAUAGCUGGAAAUAUUUCUGUAAUGAUUUGUACUGGAUGAAGGACCAGUUUUGUAAAGUAAAUUGUAUUAAACACACACACACACACACACACACACACACACACACACACACACAGAGUACUAUACAUAUGUGAUGUGCAUAUACAUAAAUAGAAACAAUCUUACAUCCAGAUUCUCCAACCCAUAUCAGCACAGGAAUCAAACAUUGGAUUGAAAGAACUGAACAGCGGUAUAGAUGUCAACACAUUUUUUCUUCUUUCUCUCAACCUUCUUUCUUUCCUUCUCUUUUCCAUUGACACUCCUUUCAGAUACACAGGCACUCACACACACACGCACACAUACACACACACACACAAAAACACACACACACUCUCUCACACGGACAACAAUAAAAAGAAAUCCAUACAAUUUUUUGAAAAAUAACAUUUAUCAAAGCAAAACCCACCCCCUUAGAGUAGCCAUCUGGUUUUGCCAUUUCUAAAGGCCAAGAAUCACUUUCUAUUAAAAGAACUGACCAGCUGUAUAGAUGUAAACACAUUUUUCUUCUUUCUCUCUUCCUUCUUCCUUUCCUUUUCUUUUCCAUUGACACUUCUUUCAGAUACAAAGGCACACACACACAUGUACUCUCUCUCACUUUUUCCUCAUUCCUCACCAUCUUUUGCUAUCCUAUAUAUCUCUCCACCCUUACACACUCAAUAGUACUAUAAAAAGAGACGAAUCUCCUCAAAAAAUUCAAUCUGUAUAUAUAUGUAUGUGUGUAUAACCCGAACUUCAGUUUCCGUCAACCAAGUCCACUCACAAAGCCUUGAUCGGCCCGAAGUUAUAGCAGAAGACACUUGGCUCUUGAUAGUCCAGCUUGGGAUCUGAUUUUAAAGCAUUUCGGUUGCUAUUUCUAGCAGAUAAAACUUGGUUGAUUCACAUCAUCUUGGUUGUCAGACGGCAUUAGAUAUCAAGGGAGAGAUUUGCUUCGUUAAUUUUACGUCGAGAUAAUAACUUUGGGACGAAUCGGCCAACUUGGAAUUCAACUUGGGACUGGAACAAUAGAAUGAUUGCAUUACAGAAUUAAUUCUCAUCCAUCCUUAACCUCCGAUUAAACACGACGGGGGUAUGUAGUUAUUAUAGGCGUAUUAUAGUCAUGCUCUUUAGCUCUCUUUAGUUAUGGGCCACACGCUCAAUUAGCCAUCUGCGCAAGCUAACUGAAAAGUCCGCACGGAGUGCGGCUUUUAGACUAGUAUACACACACGCGCGCGCACACACACACACACACACACACACACACACACACACACACAACCACACAAGUGUGGUUGCUUUUGUGUCUAUGUUUGCCCCCAUCCUCAACACCGAUUGACAACAAGUGUUGUCUUUUUAUGUCUUCGUAUCUUUGUAGUUCGGCAACAGACACCUGUAGAAUAAGUACCAGACUUUAAAAAUAAGUGCUGUAAGUAAUGGGUUUGUCCGACUAGACCCAUCGAAAUGUUACCACCCAAUUUGGCCGCAGGACAACUAAUGCAACAAGUAAAUGAUAAUAUAUUCUCCUUUUUUUUUUUUUGUCAUCUUUUCUAGUGUAAAUUUCGAUAAGGGCUUGUUGUUUCCUUUCUGUCAGUGGGAGUAAGUUUUAGAAGUCUCCUCAUCUCAGCAUCUUCGAGCCUUUUAUCUGAAUUUUUGUUGUAUGUUGGUAAAUGAGAUAUCUAACUAUCUUUCUUGCAGAUACGUUUUGAUGUUGUUGAAUAUAUGUACGGCAAUGCUUUUUCAUAAAGCGAAAAAAGAAACAAUUUUUGCUUUGAAAAUAUAUAUUUCAAUAAAGGCAAGCCGUCAGAUCUAAAAUAUAUCAACCUUAUGCAAUAUGAUCCCAAAUAAAGAACGAUGAGGAUGAAUAUUAAACACGAAUGGAAAGAACUUCACAUGACUAAAGCAAUGAAAAUAUAACAAGAAACUCUAUUUGAUAUAGAUUUUACAUCUUAUUGGGAAUUUCACGUGUAAGCAAUAUUUCUUAUAGGAUGGCUGUGUGUGUGCAUGUGUAUGUGCAUCUCUGUGUCCUUUUGUGCAUAUGUGUGUGUGUAAUAAUGUACGUGUUUAUAUAUACAUUUAUAUAUAUGCAUAUUUUUAUAAAUAUAUUUUAUAUAUAGUUAUAUAUAUAUGGUUUUAUAUAUAGUUAUAUAUAUGGUUUUUAUAUAUAUAUAUAUAUAUAUAUCGUAUGUUUAUACGUAUUUAGGCAAAGCCUGUACAAAGCAAAUUGAAAUAUUAGAGUGAAAAUGGAAGUAAAGAAGGUGGAACAACAGUCUACACAUUGCCUUAUAUAUCUAUAUUUCUAGCUUUAUAUUGUUUUAUAUUCCUAUUCAGCAAUUUCCACCGUUUUCUCCUCACGAACUGGUAUUAACACCGAAAUAGGGAAAUAGAAGGUAAAGUGAAAACUAUUGUUUUGCCAUCUUUAUUUGUUUUCUCUACUAUAUUCCAAUUUGCAUUGUAUUGUCUUUGAACAGUUUUAGCGAUAGAUAGAUAGAUAGAUAGAUAGAUAGAUAGAUAGAUAGACAGACAGACAGACAGACAGACAGACAGACAGACAGAGAGUUCUUUAUUAGCCGCACAUGGCCGAACACAGAGGGGACAAAGCGCUCUCUCUCUCUCUUUCUCUCACUCUCACUCUCUCACUCUCACUCUCUCACUCUCUCUCUUUUUCUCUCUCUCUCUAUCUCUCUCUUUCUCUCUCUCUCUCUCUCUCUCUCUUUCUCUGUCUCUCUCUCUCUUGGAUUUAAAGGAUCAUGCUCAAAGUGGUUUCGUCAUUCACGCAUACCAUCUUUGCUACAUUCACCCACCUUUUGUUGAAACUUUCAUUAGAAAAAACUUCCCGCUCUAUUGUCACCUUUCUAUUCAAGUGGUACUUGAAAAAGUUGAUGAGCGAUUGGCCAGAGAGAAAAGUGUUUGUCUCUAAACCUUUCGCACGAAUCCACCAUACACAUUCUUUCACCAUAGCCACCAGUACAAUGAAAACUGCCUUGCCUUCCCGGUUAAAGGAAAGUGGCGGGGCAAUAUUUCCGAUACACUCGACGUGUCCUACACGUGACAACAGUCGUUCGACAUAAGCCCACAGGUCUGAAAUGGUUGGACACUGCUCGAGUGCGUGCAGGACGGUUUCGUCGCUCUGACCGCAUUUCGAGCAAGUCUCGAACCGUACCUGUGGAGCUUAUCCUGAACCGACAAUGCUUCCCGAUAGCACUGCCAGGCCAGGGAUCUCUGGUGAUUGUCCAUAGAUCCCGACCCGAAAGUGGUCUUGAACAGGUCUUGCUUCUUCAGGUGCCGAGCCGCAAGCCCACUGACUUUUCCGGGUUAAUUUUCGCUCCUGUUACCGCUUUGUAUUCUUUUAGUGCCUCGCUCACCAGAUCGAUAUGCCUGUGACUCGACACAAUGACGGUGACGUCGUCCGCGUAUGCAGACACGCUCCUCCCGCAUCCCAGUUCUCGCGGGAUGCCUCUCAGUGUCGCCAGCUUCCACAGUGGUGGGGUCUAGAGUCAAUAUGUACAGAAGCGACGAGAGGGGGCAUUUUUGAUGGACCGAACGCGUGAUGUUAAAUGGUCUGGAUAGAUGACCAUUUAUGUGAACCACCGAGCGGAUGCCACUGUAUAAGGCAGCGAUCCAACCGCAGAAGACGGGACCGAAACCAGCCGCCCUAAGGAAAGCCUCCAGGUAACGAUAAUCGACCCUAUCAAAAGCUUUCGAUUGAUCCAAAUUGAUCAGCACCCCACUCACGCCAGGUUCCUUAACUACCUUGUCAAUGAAGUAGCGCAUCAGAUGGAGGUUGUCAUGGAUACCCCUGCCCGGCACAGCACAUGUUUGCGCCUUGUCGACCAGUUUCUGAUAACAAGCGCCAACCUCUCGGUUAGCACCUUGGCCAAAAUCUUCAAAUCUGCGUUGAGCAGAGUGAUGGGCCAGAAGUUAUCUAUAACGUUCCCCUUGUUUAGAUCUUUCUUUAGCAAUGCCACCGCUUCUCGGCUCACAGAACUGGGGCUACUCCCGUUUUGCUGCCAGUUGCAGUAGACUGCUGCCAAGACGCCUCCAAACAAGUCUGGCAUAUGACAAUAAAUCUCGUAGGGUAGACUAUCCAAGCCUGGCGACUUGUCUCCUGCGCAGCCUGCCAUCGCAUCCCGUAUGUCUGCGGCUGUGAUAUGUCUUUCACAACACUCUGCCUCUCUUGCCGAGAGUCGUUGUAGGCCAUGCAGGUAGGCACUAAAGUCCACUCUGCGUUCUGACCCACCAGUUAUCUCGAACAGUUGGGCAAAGUGCUGUUGAAAGGCCUCACACAUCCUUUCGGGCUCAAGUAAUUCGGCCCCUGUUCAUUUGUCAGAGACCUAAUAGUGGCUUCGUUGCCUCGUUGCGCCUCCGCCUAUCGAAUAACUCGUUUCUCAGAGCACGCAUCCUAGCUCUGACAACGCAGGGCGAACCUCUGUGCCAGCACGUUGGACGCGAUGCCACUUCUAUGUGCCUCUUCUAAUUUCUUAACUCCCUCUAUUCUAUUUCGAUCUAUCGCUAGAGCCUUAACCGAUUCUGCUUUAAUUGCUUUUUUUAGGGCAUACUACCAUCAAUCGUUGACGAUGGCUCCCGUCAAUGCCCUCUUAGCUAAUGUGCUAAUCCGGUCUCUGUAAGCCUGUCGCGCUGUGAACGACGCGUUCAGUUUCCAUUCUUAUCUAAGUCAAACGUACAAGUCACGAUUUUGUGAUAUGUGUAGCUGACUAUAUGAAAGUGUGAACAAUCUACACUAUCCCUAUCCACUGCCCAACAGAAUACUCUAUCUAAAUACGAUCUGGACGACCCGAUGCGGUUACUCCAUGUUCACAUUGGUACAUUCGGGUGGUCCAGUUGGUACCUGUCAGACAGUUGGAAACAUCUGAGCAGGUCUUUGAGGCAUUUAAAUUCCCUCCUAUUCCUAUCUCUACCUACGUAGUCUAGAUGCGUGUUCAAGGUAGCGUUCCAAUCCCUUACUAAAAGUAAAGGAAGAGACAUUCACAGGAAAACCUCUAGGCGUCGAAAGAAAUCCGGUCAACCUGUUAAGGACGGUGCAUAAACUGUUAUCAGUUGAAAAGCACACCCAUUACUGCCAUCGAUAUCCAAGACGACCAGCCUACCCUCCGGGUCUAGGAAUAUUGCUCUUGCUUUGAGAUCCAUACUAUUCCGAAAAAGCGCCGCGGUACCACCUCCGCCCCUUCUCGGCAGACACGGAGAAAAAUAUAUAUCGAAUUGUCCGCUGAACAUGUGCUGGAGAGCCCGUGGGUUAUGGAGUCUGGCCUCACUGAUGGCUAUAAUAUGCACAUUCUGUGACUUGAUGUCAUUUAACAGGUAGCCUUGUUUCCAAGGCGACCCCAAGCCACACACAUUUAUACAACCUAUUCUAAGCAUGUUCCUCUCGAAAGUUGUGUUUUACACACAAAAAGAAAAGGAAAAGAAUGAGAGAGAGACAGAGAGAGUCACUUACUGUUCAAAAGUUGGUUGUUCUCCUCCUCACAAUCUUCUCUCAAGAGGUUUUUGUACUUUCGUUUUUGAUAAGUACUUUUGAAAUUUCCCUACUGCAUCAGUAGGGAAAUUUCAGUGUGUUGUGUGUGUUUUGUGUCACGUGUAGGAUUUUUUUAUGUGUUGCGGUGGUGUUGUGCGUGGGUGAUUGUUUGUUUUGAGAUUGUCUUGUGUUAUGUUGGUGUUUGACCUAAUGUAUUGCAUUAGGUCUGAAUUGUUUGUGUUUAUUGCUGUCAACAUUGUGGGGCUAUUUGAUGUUUGUGUGUUUGUAGUGUUGGUCUUAAUGCUUUUAUAUUGUGCGGGAGUUUUGUUCUCGGGAGUGGUGAAUCUCCUUGCUUUGUUUGAUUAUGUGACUCUUCUUUGCUCUCCCCUUUUUCUUCUUCCCAACUGUGGCUAUUUGCCAUUCUUCAAUAUCACCUUCGUCAGACGAUAUGUCGGAGGAAUCAGGAGAAGGGAGGGGAAGGAUACUGGGAUCGAUUUGUGAUUGUGUUGUUGAUAUUGAUGUUGUUGGUGUUGGUUGCUGGUUAUUGGGAUGUGAUGUAUGGGUUUUGGGGGAUGAGAUGUUAGUUUUUCCCUUUUUUCCCUCUGGGUUGGAUGCUUCUGUAGUUGUUGGUGGUGAUGGUGAUGGUGCUGUCUCUGUACUUGAUGGCGCUGAUGGUGGUGGUGUUUGGCUAGGCUGGCAUGUUGGCCGGGGAAGCUCUUUCAUUUGCUUCAUCAGUUAUGUUGCUGGCGGUGAGGGUAGCAGUACUGGUUUGCCUUUCGGUUUUUGGUUUUGUUGUUGUUCCAGUUGUUGUUGCUCUUCUUCUUCUUUUGCUAAUUGGUAGUCUUUUUUGAGAUGAUAUCUUCAACCACAAAGGUAGCAGCGUGGCCUUCUGCCUUCAACGGUCACGUAUAGGGUUGUUCUAUCUGAAAGUUGAAUCACAUCUGGGAGAUUUUCGAUUGUCUCCUGAUUUGCCUGAAUCAACAAAUCCAACCCCUGUCCAAUCCAAUUUUGUUGUUCCAGGACGGCAAUUUCUAAGAUACUAUUGUGCAAUUGUUUCCUUUUUGAUAGGCUUAAGGGAAAUGUUCGCUCUUAUAUGCAUAGAAUAACAACAUAUAAAGAAAAAUACUGCUUUGAAUCCGUAGAUUUUAAAGUAUAUGUCUGUUUCUAUAUUUCUACCUGUUUCCAUUGUGAAUUUUAUAUUAUGAAUCAUGUUGUUAAUGUGAUUUCCAUAAGUUUAUCAAGGUUAUCCUGCCAUAAAACUCGUCAUCUAGAUGUUAUUCACUUUUAAAUGCAUAAAAUAUUAUUCCAAAUAAUUGCAAGAUUCAUCAUAAAAUUUUUCUUCUUUGCGUAAGUGAGGGUUAAUUUCGUGAUCAUUGCAGUCCCUGAUAUUUGUUGGUCCAAUGAUUUAUUGAAGAUAAAAUAAUUAGUUUUUAAUAUAAAUCUAAGACCAGCAAUAAUAAAAUGAUUUUCAGUAAUUCAAACUGGUAUAUAUAAAGUAAAUAUCUAUUUAAUCGCAGUGAUUCCAUUGUUGUGAGGGAUAUUAUCGUAUAACUUUACAUCAUUAAUGGAAAUAAUUAUUCUUCACUCCUUGUUUUGCGAUUGAGUAUAUCUAGAUUAUUCCAAAUAUAAGUCUGUAUAUGUUUAUAUAAGAUGUCUAAAAGAAGUGACUAAACCAGUGUAUUUCAAAUAUAGAGCCUGCUAUAAUCGAUCUUAAUUACAAACCAUCUGGAUAUUUAUAUACUUGUUUUUACAGUUUUUACGAGCGUCACUUAUAGCUAGGCCAUAGACAUUUCUGGUUUAUCAUUUUAAGUAAGUUGCUUGAUAAAACUCUUUAAUAGUCAAGCAUUUGUAGUAUAUAUUCAAUAAAGUCAGUAGUUUUCUCAUUAUUUUUUAUAUUGUUUAUAAGUUGUUUGUUUCAUUAUUUUCUAACAUUUUAACACAAUUUCCUUUUAAUAAUCUUUCGCUGACAACAACAACAUUACCUUUAUCGGUUUCUUUAGUUGUAAUUUCAACGUCUUUUUGUUUAUCAUUUGGAUUUGUUCAUUCUUGUUUUGAGAAAUUCGAUGUUAUGUCGUGAUUAUAUUCGAAGUUAUUCACAGCUUGAGAUAUAUUUUCUUUAAGAUUAUUUUAAUUCUACCAUUGUAUCGGAACAUACAUACGCAGGAAGUUUUAGUCGCAAUGUUGUUUAGCAUAUUUGUUUAUGUAUGUAUUCUAAAUUAUAUAUAAUGCUUAGUGACAAAUGAAUAUAUAAAUCUGCUUUCGUGUAUAAUCUUACUUUAUUCUGUAAACCAACUCUUCCAUAAUUUGGUAUGUUUCAUUCAUAUUUGGGGUAAUUUUAUAUGUUCAUUCAUAUAUAUAUAUAUACAUGUGUGUCUGUGUAUAUACAUAUAUAUAUAUGCAUAUAUAUAUAUAUAUUUAUAUAUAUAUAUAUAUAUAUAUAUAUAUAUAUAUAUAUAUAUAUAUAUAUAUAUAUAUAUAUAUAUAUAUAUAUAUAUAUAUAUACACGAAUGUAUGUAAUAUAUAAUUUAUUUCACGGAAACGAAAUGCUUGAAUCAAUUAUUCAAAUAACAAAUCUGCUGGAUGCCACUUUAAGAACAUCCUCUUGCAUAACGAUGCAAGCCAGAGAAAAUAUAUUACGAAAGACUUCUACGCCUGCAUAACAUUCAUAAUUCUCAAAUAUAUAAACAUUACUCUGUUGCUAGGAACAGCAGCGACUAUGAUGAGUGUUGCCAUGGAUGUUGGUUGGUUCCAGAUAGAUUUUAUCACCUUGGAAAUCUAUCAACUAGAAAUAAAAUACCAGAGGCUACUUUCUAUCAAAUAUUCCCAAAGAAAAGGCGCCACGGUCAGGCAUUUGUUACACUAAUGAAAGUAUUCUCCAUUUCCAGCUGACUGUAAAUAAGUUCUUGCGAACUCAUUUCUUGAUGUGAUUAGCCAACCUGAUCAUUGUGACGUUCCUGAAACUGAUUACGAGGUCUGUCUCGAGCCAAAGCCGCGAGUAAUUUACCGAACCUUCAGACCAACAACAAAGAAUUAUUUUCUCCGUGUAGCCUGAAGUAAUAAAAGGAAAAUGAGAUAAGAAAAAAAAAAGAAAAAAAAAGAAAAAAGAAAGAAAGAAAAGUCAUAAAGAAAGCAAAAAAGAAAAAAAAAUCAAGAGGUGUGUGGUAAGAAGCUAGCUUCCCAACCACUUGGUUCCGAGUUCAGUCCCACUGUGUGGCACCUUGGGCAAUUGUCUUCUACUAUAGCCUCAGACCGACGAAAGUCUUGUGGAUUUGGUAGACGGAAACUGAAAGAAACCCGUCGUUAUAUAUAUAUAUAUAUAUAUAUAUAUAUAUAUGUAUGUAUGUAUGUAUGUAUGUAUGUAUGUAUGUAUGUAUGUAUGUAUGUAUGUAUGUAUGUUUGUAUGUAUGUAUGUAUACUGGUGUUGGUGAGUUUACAUACCCGUAACUUACCGGUUCGGCAAAAGAGUCCGACAGACUAAGUACUAGGCUUAAAAAGCAAUGUCCUGGGGUCGAUUUAUUCAACUAAUACCUUUCAAGGUGGUGCCCCAGCAUGGCUGCUGUCAACUGACUGAAACAAGUAAAAGGUUAAGAAAAAAGAAGAAAAGAGAAACCGAGUAAGAAAGAGAAAUCAAAAAUGAAGAAAACAAUCCUUUCUAUUAUAGGCACAAGGCCUGAAAUUUGUGGUGAGGGCGAUGGUUGGUUGCUUCGAUCCCAGUACUCGACUGUCACUUCUUUUAAUCGACCCAGAAAGAAUGAAAGAAGUCAACCUCGGCGGAAUUUGAACUCAGGACAUGAAGACAGACGAAAUGCCGCUAAGUAUAUUGUCUGACAUGCAAACGAUUCAGUCAGCUCGCAGCCUUAGGAAUAAAAGAAAAAAAGAAAAAAGGAAAGGUGUUAAUGAAUGAAGGAAACAUAGUAGAGGCACGUGGCUUAGUGGUUAGGGUGUUGGAUUCAUGAUUGUAAGAUUGUGAUUUCAAUUCCUGGAUCGGGCGAUGCGUUGUGUUCUUGAGUAAAACACUUCAUUUUACGUUGCUCCAGUUCAAUCAGGUAGCAAAAGUGAGUAUUACUGCGACUGACCGGCACCCCGUCCCAGAUAGAGAACUUAUACGCCAUGAAACCAAGAAAACCGACCCUUAUGAGUCGGUAUGACUUAUAAAAGGAAUUUGAAUGACUGACCAAAUUGACUGACUGACCAGACUGACUGACGGACGGACGGAUGGAUGGAUUACCAGUACCAUGUAGAAUAUGCCUCAUUAUGUUCCUCAUGGGCUUUUAUUUAUUUUUAUUUUUUUGUUAGAAAAGCAAGACAGGAAUUGUAUCGGGUAUCUUAGAACAUAUCAGCGUUCCAACUCUAUCUUUUUCCAUACUAUUUUUCUUUCGACGGGGGAAAGCUUAACUACGAGAAAUUUCUAAUACGAAACAAACAGCCCCACCAGGAAUUGAACACGUAUCUUAGCUCAGCGAAAAAUUUGCCAUACAACCUACUGAGUCCGCUUCUUUCUUGUGCCACUGUUCAGUCAUGGCGUACGAGUAAGUUCUAUCGAUUGUACACUUCCCCAUCUCUACCAUACUGUAUCCUUAUACUAAUAUAACAAAAUCAUUAUUGAUGUUUUAUUGUGAAUGCCUUGCUGGUGUAAGAAGUGGUGAUGCUGGCGCUGUUGAGAGUUCUAGUAAUAUUAAAGAUGGCGGUGGGUUGUAAUGGUUCCGGUGGUUGUGGUGGUGGUGGUGGUGGUGGUGCCGGUGGUCGUCGUCGCUGUCGUCGUCGUGGUACGGAUUGAGGUUGCUUUACCAAAUGUGUUUGUUAUGGAAAUCAGCUAAAACCGAUUAUGUUGGCAAUUUAGAUUGAUGCCAUCAACUAACUUGUUAAUUACGUUCAUACUGCCGCUCCUAGGCUGACCUACAAAAUUACCAAAUAAGACAUCUAUAUACGCGUGCGUGUGUGUGUGAGUGUUUCUGUGUGUGCGUGUGUUCAUGCAUGCAUAGACACACACACACACACACAAGUAUAAUGAAAAGACACAUAUGUCUUGUAUGUAUGAUUUUCAUGCUUUCUCUUUCAUCUUAUUUCUCGUUCUCUCUGCAGUUACAUGCAUACAUGCACACGUGUACACGUACGUUUGUACGUAUCUAUAUACCUAUCUACCAACAAGCAUACAUACACACACAAACACACAUACGCACACGCACAAAGAAAGAAAGAAGGAAAGAAAGAAACAAACAAACAAACAAACAAACAAAGAAACAAAGAAACAAAGAAAGAAACAAAGAAACAAAGAAACAAAGAAAGAAACAAAGAAAGAAACAAACAAACAAACAAACAAAGAAAGAAAGAAAAAGUUAUGUUUGAAAUGUUUAUUUGGAAAAUGUUACACAGAAAACUAACUUCGAUUUUAAGAAUUAUUCCUAAUUGUAUGUUUCGUAGAACUUCCUGUGGGAUAAAUAUAACAGAUAAAUAUUUCCCUCUCUUUGCUUACCAUCUACAAACCAGGACUUUCUUUUUUCUUGUGUCUUCGAUACUUAUAACUUGGAAUGCUGGGGUGAAUUCUUGUUAGCAUUAAAAGUAUUUUGGUGGAAAGUUGAUGCAAUAAGUUAAGUUUCAUAAUUUGGAAUUAAUGACCAUGGAAUUUCUUGCUCAAAGAAUUCUGAGCAUAGGUUUUCAAGAACUUACCAAGUUAUUUACCGAAAAAUUUUAGUCAAUUUUUGUGAAUGAAAUAUGGCAUAUCUAUAACCACCGGCGUUGAAUGGGUAGUUAUAGACAACAAUAGCCAAAAUACUAGUAGUUUUUCUCUUCAUAAUUCUACGACGUUUUCUACUAGACACAGUACAGAAAUUCGGUCAAUGCACUGCUUUGUCUGUUUUUGUAUAUAUAUUUAAUAAUUAAUACUACAAAGAGCGGAAAAGCAGCGAGCUGGUAAAAUCGUUAGCACCCCGAGUAAAGUACGAGAUAAAAUAAGUACCAGUUGAGUACUGGGAUCGAUGUAAUCGACUCACCCCUUCCCCCGAAAUUGCUGGCCUUGUGUCAAAAUUUGAAACCAAUAUUACAAAGAGCGGAAGGAAGAGAUGACUAUCAGCAAGUUUAUAAGUAAUAUAUAAAAUAAACUGGCAGAGAACUCACGCUUAAUAUAAUAAAGAUUGUGCAAGCGGCGUAUAGUAAGACAUUCUUGACGAAUCUCAUCAGCGAUGUAGGUUUCAAUUUUCAAUUGACGUUUAAUGUCCUUGCAGAAAAUCUUGUAACUAUAUUUUCCUUUUACUCAAAGGAAAUUGAACUUCAUAAUUUUUUUUUCUUCAUCUUUAAAAUAUUAGACGUUUGUAUUGUCGUUCUACAACACUCGGUGGGUUGUUCUGUCUUCAAGCAUUACAUCAUGAAAUGGUUUAUCUCCCCACACUAUAUCAACACCUUGCCUUGAUAUAUAUUACAACUAUCAAACACACUACCAUGUUAUAUACUUUAUUCUGUCUGCAACAUUUAUACUGCUGCAGCACAGUUGCGAGUGUAUCUCGUAGGGAGAAGGUUAAGGAAAGUAGAGGAACAUACCUGGAGGGAAGUUUCAACACUCUUCUAAAUACCUCGUGUGUGUUGAGAUAUAAUCCAUUAUUUGCUCUCAAGAAGAGCAAAUAAUGGAUUUUUAUGGAUUAUUCCUCCUCCUCUUAUUAUUAUUAUUAUUAUUAUUAUUAUUAUUAUUAUUAUUAUUAUUAUUAUUAUUAUUAUUAUUAUUAUCCUUAUUAUUAUUACUAUUAUUAUCAUUAUUAUUAUUAUUAUUAUUAUCAUUCUUCUCCUCCUCCUUCUUCUUUAGCAGAGAUGAAUACUGAUUGAUCAAACUUAUGACCGGAGGCACUCCAGCUGUGACCAUCUCAUCUUCUAACUCCAUUUAGAACUACUUUUAUCGAAUAUAUCUUUUCAAUUUUAAGACUGCGGGAAACGAUUCGAGAGAGAAUCAGCUGUUAUUUCUAGCAUGCCGAGCGAUUGUGUGGAGGCUCCUUCGUUGGCUCAUGAUCUAAGGUAAGAAAGAGAUAAAAUGAUAUUUGGAGAAUCGGUGUGUCGAACAAAUAUACAGAUAGGUAAGAAUAGUAACUGUUGCAUUUCAGUUCAGAAUGGCAAACGAUUCGUCUUCUGAUUCAGCUGAGUCGAUGUCGCAGAGCGGGGGCAGAAGACAGAGAUCAAGAGGAGUUAUAU